GCCGCCGUAGCUCAGCGGAUUAGAGCACCCGGCUCUUACCCGGGGUGUCGUAGGUUCGAAUCCUACCGGCGGUACCA
rnacentral:tRNA from 1 species